GAAAACUGUAGGCCACCUGAAAAUAAGUUUAAACAAGGUAAUAUGAAAUGAACCUAUAGUUUAUGGAGAAAGAAUGCAUUUAUAUUUGGCCAAGUUCACGACUCCUAACGUCUACUAAAAUUUCCUGCAAACAGAAGUCUAAUGAGGGUCUUGUCGACCAACUUGUCGAUACAGUCAAACGGAUAACGACGUGUUACAGUAUCAGCUGGUUGACAGUAUCUUUUUUCUGUACUUAAACACUUGGAAAAUAACUCGGUUAACUAGUAAAACAUGCAAAUAUGUAACAGGAAUAACUUUCACUGUUUGAAGAAAUUACCUGACACGGUUAGGCCUGCCUCAUUCUCGCUGUCCCUGUUCCUGAACACUACAGUAACCGGGCAUCUGAGAGGUCCUCGAUCCUGUCGCCAAGGUUGUGCCCAGAGGGUGUCAUCCCAGUGGAACAGAGGAAUACACUUCAGUGAUGAGACACAGUCAUGCCAUGGCUGGCAUCUUCACAGUCACAUGAUGAUGUUUACACAAUAACAAUGGGCUUCUUGUGUUUUCUGAGGGUUCUUUUAUCCAGGCCAGGUCCACACAGGAUGAACACAUCUUUUACUGUACUUUCGUUAUUGUACUGUACUUGAUCACUGAACGAUGUUCAAUCUUGUAAAAGAUACUUGUGGUAAGCCUCAUUCUUAUUGUAUAAAAUAAUAAAAGGGUGAAAUCUUAAUGCAGUAUAGAGUUUUUGUAUUUGGUAUUUGUUAAUGCUUUCAUGCAACAAUAACACAUAACAGUUGAAAUAUACUGUACCUAACAAGCAAAAGUUGAUGUUAUUUUAAUUAAUUAUAACUCAUAUGACCCCCCAUAUAAUGUAAG
ensembl:lncRNA